AUUGUGGGGAAUGUUGUCUGGCUCGAGGAAUCUUUAAUCUUGAUCAAAUUCUUUACACAGAUCUAUCAUUAUAUAUGUUUUAUAUAUUUUUUAGAUCUUAUAUAGAUCUAUAAUUGUUAGUUGUUAGAUCUAUGAAUUUUGAUCAUAUUUUUUUGCGUCGUCGGACCAGGCUUCAUUCCCCUCAGA
rnacentral:pre_miRNA from 1 species